AAUUAGCAAGGAAAGAAAUCUGAUUCAAUUAGCCGCGUGAGCGAAGAACGACUUCGGUUUGUAAAGCUCUCUUCUUCAUAAGAAACGUGGGGUGGGUGGCUAUGCAUUGCCACGACGGAAGUAAACGAGGAAGCCCCGGCUAACUACGUGGCAGCAGCCGCGGUAAUACGUUAGUGGCGAGCGUUGUCCGGAAUUAUUGGGCGUAAAGAGCAUGUAGGCGGCUUAAUAUGUCGAGCGUGAAAAUGCGGGGCUCAACCCCGUAUGGCGCUGGAAACUGUUAGGCUUGAGUGCAGGAGAGGAAAGGGGAAUUCCCAGUGUAGCGGUUAAAUGCGUAAAUAUUGGGAGGAACACCAGUGGCGAAGGCGCCUUUCUGGACUGUGUCUGACGCUGAGAUGCGAAAGCCCCGGUAGCGAACGGGAUUAAAUACCCCGGUAGUCCUGGCCGAAAACCAUGGGUACUAGGUGUACGAUGUAUCGACCCCUUCUGCGCCGGAGUUAACGCAUUAAAUACCCCGCCUGGGGAGUACUGCCGGAAGGUUGAAACUCAAAGGACUUGACGGAGGGCG
rnacentral:rRNA from 1 species